rnacentral:rRNA from 1 species
GACGAACGCUGGCGGCGUGCUUAACACAUGCAAGUCGAACGGAGUGGCGGACGGGUGAGUAACGCGUAAUCAACCUGCCCUUCGAGGGGGGACAACAGUUGGAAACGACUGCUAAUACCACAUACGGAUGGAGGGGAUUGCGUCUGAUUGGCUAGUUGGAGGGGUAACGGCCCAACAAGGCGAUGAUCAGUAGCCGGUCGGAGAGGAUGAACGGCCACAUUUGGACUGAGACACGGCCCAGACUCCUACGGGAGGCAGCAGUGGGGAAACUUCCGCAAUGGACGAAAGUCUGACGGAGCAACGCCGCGUGAGUGAUGACGGCCUUCGGGUUGUAAAGCUCUGUUAAUCGGGACGCGGUACCGGAAUAGAAAGCCACGGCUAACUACGUGCCAGCAGCCGCGGUAAUAC